rnacentral:rRNA from 1 species
AUUGAACGCUGGCGGCAGGCCUAACACAUGCAAGUCGAACGGUAACACGAAGCGGCUUGCUGCUUCGCUGUAGCGUGGCGGGCGUGUGAAACAUGUGUAGGACACAGCUUGAUGGCGGGGGAAACCUACUGAAAACGGUAGCAAAUACCGCAUAACGUCGCAAGCCCAAGGAGCGGGACCUUAGGGCCUCUUGCCAUCGGCUGUGCCCAGAUGGGAUUAGCUAGUAGGUAGGGUAACGGCUUACCUAGGCGACGAUCCCUAGCUGGUCUGAGAGGAUGACCAGCCACACUGGAACUGAGACACGGUCCAGACUCCUACGGGAGGCAGCAGUGGGGAAUAUUGCACAAUGGGCGCAAGCCUGAUGCAGCCACGCCGCGUGUAUGAAGAAGGCCUUCGGGUUGUAAAGUACUUUCAGCGGGGAGGAAGGGAGUAAAGUGAAUACCUGCGCUCAUUGACGUUACCCGCAGAAGAAGCACCGGCUAACUCCGUG